AAAAAUUGCCAUUACUUCCAUCUGACCGGACAAGAUACCCCCCUUCUCCUUUUUUAUGGGACACCACCUUCUCCUUUUCAGAAGAAGAAUUUUCACCCGUCANCCACCUUUUCCUGCCGUAUGUUUUUCUCGCUUGGUUUUGCCUCUGGACUAGUUUCGCUCGGCUUUUUCCAGACCGGGAUCGCGCGGACUCCCUUCCAACCAUACUCAAAUUGCGUAGCGAAACCUAAUGAUUGAUUCUUAUAAAUCACCAAGCGAGAGUUCAAAUAAUUCAAGAAAGUGGAGGUGAAGGUGUGCAAAGAUGCUACGACCAAAAACGCGUAUAGGAACAGUAGGUGAGCGUUCAAAAAGGAGAUUAAAGAUGUCAAAAAAGGUUCCAUUCCAAUGAAAUUAUUCAACAAAGAAUCUGCUCCCCCGUUCAAAAAGGAGAUUAAAGAUGUCAAAACAGAUUCCAUUCCAAUGAAAUUCUUCAAAGAGAAUCUGCUCCCUCUCCCCCCAAAAAAUGAAGAGAGACUUGUCGGAAAUCGCCGGUUGGGUUAAUCCAACCAAGAAAGACAUGGGAAAAAGAUACAUAAAGAAAGAAGCUCGACAACAACAAGACAAGAGAAAAUGAACGAAAGACUCACCGAGGAUAAAGAACGAGACCUGUGAACUCAGAUAGCCUUGUGGCAUACCUUUCAUCCGCUACUUUCUUCUCUUAAGAUAUAAAUAUUCUAGUUUUUUGCUCCUAAAUGCAGUCGUGAUCUUAUUAUACGAUAGCACUCGCCAUCCUUUACGCUCUUGUCUGGUAAAUCCGCUUAGUCUGGAGUGGAGACCCCCUUUGCUAGUGAGGUAAUCGCCUAGUUCCUAUCUAUUCUAUCUGCCUGAUCACGGUCAAAUACCCCUCUGGUACAACUCCUUCCUAAUGCCCUUAUCCCUAGCAGCUUGGUCGGGAUGCCCUAAAUUCAGCACAGCAAGUAGCGAUUCGAAUUUGACAAUUUCAAGUCCGUGGGAAUCUUCGUAUUUCUUUCUUAGGGAGGUUUAAACCACUGAAUCAUCAAAGCAAGGUCUCGAACCAGAUUCUAUUAGAUCUUCGACCGUAAUUCGCCUAUCUGUCGUCCUCCUCAUUAUAGUUCUCCUUUAAUAAAUAGCAUAAAAAAAAUAAGAAAUUUGGAAAACGGUGGCGCUCCUUUCUAGUAGAACUUACCUGUUUUAACUAUUACAGUCGCUGAUUCCUAGCAAACCAUCCAAAUCCUCAUGAAGAUCUUUUUUGCAUCAUAGGAAAGGCAAAGCGCUUUCUUUUAAGAAUGCAUCUAGUUCCAUCUUUCUUUCGUUAGUUAACCCACCUUUUUCUAAAAGGGAUUGUAGUAAUUCUGGUUUUAUACUACUUAGAAUGGCUCUCUCAUAUUGAGAAAUUCUGUCUAGUGGCAUUCGAUCACAGAAUCCAUUGACAGCUGCAUAAAUGACUAGAAUUUGUUUUUCAAUUGGAAGUGGUGCAUAUUGUGGUUGUUUCAGUACUUCUGUAAGCCUUGCGCCUCUAUUGAGUAAUGCCUGAGUCGCAGCAUCAAGGUCUGAGCCAAAUUGAGCAAAGGCGGCCACUUCGCGAUAUUGUGCCAAUUCCAGUUUUAAACUACCGCAGACUUGUUUCAUAGCUUUCAACUGAGCGGCAGACCCGACGCGACUGACAGAUAAGCCGACGUUAAUAGCAGGUCUAAUUCCGCGAUAAAAGAGCUCUGUUUCCAAACAGAUUUGUCCAUCAGUAAUGGAGAUCACAUUGGUAGGAAUAUAGGCCGAUACGUCUCCAGCUUGUGUUUCAAUGACGGG
rnacentral:misc_RNA from 1 species